GCGGUUGUAGCUCAAUGGCAGAGCCCUGGUUUGUGGUACCAGUUGUUGCGGGUUCGAGUCCCGUCAACCGCCCCA
rnacentral:tRNA from 1 species